rnacentral:rRNA from 1 species
GACGAACGCUGGCGGCGUGCCUAAUACAUGCAAGUCGAACGGAGCGGCGGACGGGAGAGUAAUGCCUAGGAAUCUGCCUGGUAGUGGGGGAUAACGUCCGGAAACGGGCGCUAAUACCGCAUACUAUCAGAUGAACCUAGGUCGGAUUAGUUAGGUGGUGGGGGAAAGGCCGACAAAGGCGACGAUCCGUAACUGGUCUGAGAGGAGGAUCAGUCAAACUGGAAAUGCGACAAGGUCCAGACGCCUACGGGAGGCAGCAGUGGGGAAUAUUGGACAAGGGGCGAAAGCCUGAUGCAGACAUGCGGCGUGUGUGAAGAAGGUCUGCGGAUGGUAAAGCACGUUAAGUUGGGAGGCGUUACCAACAGAAUAAGCACCGGCUAACUUCGUGCCAGCAGCCGCGGUAAUAC